rnacentral:rRNA from 1 species
AGGGCGCACGGUGGAUGCCUUGGCACUAGGAGCCGAUGAAGGACGGGACUAACACCGAUAUGCUUCGGGGAGCUGUAAGUAAGCUUUGAUCCGGAGAUUUCCGAAUGGGGAAACCCCCUCUUCGUAAUGGAAGAGGAUCCUUACCUGAAUUCAUAGGGUAAGGAAGGCACACCCAGGGAACUGAAACAUCUAAGUACCUGGAGGAAGAGAAAGAAAUUUCGAUUCCCUGAGUAGCGGCGAGCGAAACGGGAAGAGCCCAAACCAAGAGGCUUGCCUCUUGGGGUUGUAGGACACUCAAUACGGAGUGAUAAAAGAACGGAGUAGAUGAAGCGAUCUGGAAAGGUCCGUCAGAGAAGGUAACAACCCUGUAAUUGAAACUCUCGUUCUCUCCUGAGUGGAUCCUGAGUACGGCGGAACACGUGAAAUUCCGUCGGAAGCUGGGAGGACCAUCUCCCAAGGCUAAAUACUCCCUAGUGACCGAUAGUGAACCAGUACCGUGAGGGAAAGGUGAAAAGUACCCCGGAAGGGGAGUGAAAGAGUACCUGAAACCGUGUGCUUACAAGUAGUCAGAGCACAAUUAUGUGUGAUGGCGUGCCUUUUGUAGAAUGAACCGGCGAGUUACGAUCCUAUGCAAGGUUAAAGUGGAAACUGGAGCCGUAGCGAAAGCGAGUCUGAAUAGGGCGAAUAAGUAUAGGGUCGUAGACCCGAAACCAGGUGAUCUACCCAUGUCCAGGGUGAAGGUAAGGUAACACUUACUGGAGGCCCGGACCCACGCACGUUGAAAAGUGCGGGGAUGAGGUGUGGGUAGCGGAGAAAUUCCAAUCGAACUUGGAGAUAGCUGGUUCUCUCCGAAAUAGCUUUAGGGCUAGCCUCAAGAUAAGAGUAUUGGAGGUAGAGCACUGUUUGGACUAGGGGCCCUCAUCGGGUUACCGAAUUCAGAUAAACUCCGAAUGCCAAAUACUUAUGCUUGGGAGUCAGACUACGAGUGCUAAGAUCCGUGGUCAAAAGGGAAACAGCCCAGACCGCCAGUUAAGGUCCCAAAGUAUACGUUAAGUGGAAAAGGAUGUGGAGUUGCAUAGACAACCAGGAUGUUGGCUUAGAAGCAGCCACCAUUUAAAGAGUGCGUAAUAGCUCACUGGUCGAGUGACUCUGCGCCGAAAAUGUACCGGGGCUAAACGUAUCACCGAAACUGCGGAUAGACUCUGUUAGAGUCUAUGGUAGGAGAGCGUUCUAAAUGCGUAGAAGCUAGACCGAGAGGACUGGUGGAGCGUUUAGAAGUGAGAAUGCCGGUAUGAGUAGCGAAAGAUGGGUGAGAAUCCCAUCCACCGAAUGCCUAAGGUUUCCUGAGGAAGGCUCGUCCGCUCAGGGUUAGUCGGGACCUAAGCUGAGGCCGAAAGGCGUAGGCGAUGGACAACAGGUUGAUAUUCCUGUACCACCUAUGGAUUCGUUUGAGUGAUGGAGUGACGCAGGAGGAUAGGGUAAGCGCGGCGCUGGUCGUCCGCGUCCAAGCAAUAAGAGGGGUCGUGAGGCAAAUCCUUAUGACCAUAACCUCAAGUUGUGAUUGGCGAGGGAAAUUUAAGUACCGAAGUUCCUGAUUUCACACUGCCAAGAAAAGCUUCUAGCGAGAAUCCGGGUGCCCGUACCGCAAACCGACACAGGUAGGCGAGGAGAGAAUCCUAAGGUGAGCGAGAGAACUCUCGUUAAGGAACUCGGCAAAAUGACCCCGUAACUUCGGGAGAAGGGGUGCUCUUGUGGGUGUAAGCCCGCGAGAGCCGCAGUGAAUAGGCCCAGGCGACUGUUUAGCAAAAACACAGGUCUCUGCAAAGCCGAAAAGGCGAAGUAUAGGGGCUGACGCCUGCCCGGUGCUGGAAGGUUAAGAGGAGAGGUUAGCUUGAAGCGAAGCUUCGAAUUGAAGCCCCAGUAAACGGCGGCCGUAACUAUAACGGUCCUAAGGUAGCGAAAUUCCUUGUCGGGUAAGUUCCGACCCGCACGAAAGGCGUAAUGAUUUGGGCACUGUCUCAACGAGAGACUCGGUGAAAUUAUAGUACCUGUGAAGAUGCAGGUUACCCGCGACAGGACGGAAAGACCCCGUGGAGCUUUACUGUAGCCUGAUAUUGAAUUUUGGUAUAGCUUGUACAGGAUAGGUA